rnacentral:tRNA from 1 species
GCUCGGGUGGCGGAAUUGGCAGACGCACUAGCUUGAGGGGCUAGCGGUAGCAAUACUAUGCGGGUUCAAAUCCCGCCCCGAGCACCA